rnacentral:rRNA from 1 species
UACGUAGGUGGCGAGCGUUGUCCGGAUUUAUUGGGUUUAAGGGGUGCGUAGGCGGACUGUCAAGUCAGCGGUAAAAUUGAGAGGCUCAACCUCUUCCCGCCGUUGAAACUGGUGGUCUUGAGUGGAUGAGAAGUACGCGGAAUGCGUGGUGUAGCGGUGAAAUGCAUAGAUAUCACGCAGAACUCCGAUUGCGAAGGCAGCCUUCCGGCGCCCUACUGACGCUGAGGCACGAAAGUGCGGGGAUCGAACAGG